rnacentral:rRNA from 1 species
UACGGAGGGUGCAAGCGUUAUCCGGAUUCACUGGGUUUAAAGGGUGCGUAGGUGGAGUGGUAAGUCAGUGGUGAAAUCUCCAAGCUUAACUUGGAAACUGCCGUUGAUACUAUCAUUCUUGAAUAUCGUGGAGGUAAGCGGAAUAUGUCAUGUAGCGGUGAAAUGCUUAGAUAUGACCCGGAACACCUAUUGCGAAGGCAGCAGGCUAAACAAAUAUUGACGCUGAGGCUCGAAAGCGUGGGGAUCAAACAGG